rfam:Ipomoea nil DNA, scaffold: scaffold2792, cultivar: Tokyo-kokei standard.
GUCAGGAUGGCCGAGUGGUCUAAGGCGCCAGACUCAAGUUCUGUUCCUCGUAAGAGGGCGUGGGUUCAAAUCCCACUUCUGACA